AGGCGACAACCUUGUACAGUUUCUGAAGUGUUUAACUUCUGCUGGGUGCUGUUUGUUCAGACCAAAGGAAUAAGUGUUGGUCAGGAUGUUGAGAGAAAUCCUUUUGAUUCUUCUUCAAACUAGAUAUUUUCCAUACACCUGAGAAGGACCUCCAUUUAACAUCUCAUUCAAAAGACUGCUCCUCUGACAGUGCAGAGCUCCCUCAGUGUUGUUGUGGUGUGCGUGAGCUUAUGUUUUGUUGUCAAGUCUCUGGGGUAACACUUGAACCCAGAACCUUGAACCCUGACAGUGGCAAGAGCGUGACCUGAGUCACGGAUGACAUUGUACCUCAGUGCAUUAUCUACAUUUGUACUUAAGAAGGGAUUGCUGCAUUUUUCCAGGAAGGAUCCUCUUGAGCAACAUGAAACCAUCAGCUGACACUAAUGCUUCAUGUGGAUGUUGACCCCAUGACAAUCUAUUUUUGGUUCUGCCGGUGUGCACCCCCACUCCAUACUUGUUGAAAUAAAUUAAUUACCCAUUCACUAAUCAUUGUGCCUUAGGAUCUUGCUAUAUGUAAGCUCCCACAUUUUCUCUCAUUAAAACAAUCACUGUACAUUGACGUA